CGCGCAGGCGGUCAGAUAAGUCGAAUGUGAAAGCCCCCGGCUCAACUGGGGAGGGUCAUUCGAUACUGUUCGACUCGAAGGCAGGAGAGGGAAGCGGAAUUCCCGGUGUAGUGGUGAAAUGCGUAGAUAUCGGGAGGAACACCAGUGGCGAAGGCGGCUUCCUGGCCUGUUCUUGACGCUGAGGCGCGAAAGCUAGGGAGCAAACG
rnacentral:rRNA from 1 species